rnacentral:tRNA from 1 species
CAGAAAAUAGUUUAUAAAAAUAUUAAUUUUGGAGAUUAAUGAAAAGUAGUAAUACUUUUUUCUGA